rnacentral:RNase_P_RNA from 1 species
ACAUCUCUCCUUGUAUGACGCUCUUACUCAGUAAGGGAGGAAAGUCCUGACACAACAAAAAAGGGAGCCGUUCACGACGGCUGGAUACUCGCAGCGAUGCGGGUCAAACGAAAGUGCCACAGAGACGAUACUCAUCUCGGAUUUAUUCGAGGUCAAAGGUGAAACGUCUAUGGUGUGGACGAUAGUCUGCUACAUAGUGCUUAGUCCCGACGAUGUCGGGACAAGUGGUAAACCGUCCCUUGUGCAAGCAUACCUCGAGCAAUCGGGGGAUGUGCAUGAUAUCGAGUAUAACUCGGUCUAGUCACAUGUCAUACCUCGACAGAAUCAGGCUUAUGGGAGAGAUGUUUUU